rnacentral:rRNA from 1 species
AUUGAACGCUGGCGGCAGGCCUAACACAUGCAAGUCGAGCGGUAACACAGGGAGCUUGCUCCUGGGUGACGAGCGGCGGACGGGUGAGUAAUGUCUGGGAAACUGCCUGAUGGAGGGGGAUAACUACUGGAAACGGUAGCUAAUACCGCAUAACGUCGCAAGACCAAAGAGGGGGACCUUCGGGCCUCUUGCCAUCAGAUGUGCCCAGAUGGGAUUAGCUAGUAGGUGGGGUAACGGCUCACCUAGGCGACGAUCCCUAGCUGGUCUGAGAGGAUGACCAGCCACACUGGAACUGAGACACGGUCCAGACUCCUACGGGAGGCAGCAGUGGGGAAUAUUGCACAAUGGGCGCAAGCCUGAUGCAGCCAUGCCGCGUGUAUGAAGAAGGCCUUCGGGUUGUAAAGUACUUUCAGCGGGGAGGAAGGCGUUGAGGUUAAUAACCUCAGCGAUUGACGUUACCCGCAGAAGAAGCACCGGCUAACUCCGUGCCAGCAGCCGCGGUAAUACGGAGGGUGCAAGCGUUAAUCGGAAUUACUGGGCGUAAAGCGCACGCAGGCGGUCUGUCAAGUCGGAUGUGAAAUCCCCGGGCUCAACCUGGGAACUGCAUUCGAAACUGGCAGGCUAGAGUCUUGUAGAGGGGGGUAGAAUUCCAGGUGUAGCGGUGAAAUGCGUAGAGAUCUGGAGGAAUACCGGUGGCGAAGGCGGCCCCCUGGACAAAGACUGACGCUCAGGUGCGAAAGCGUGGGGAGCAAACAGG